rnacentral:lncRNA from 1 species
CCUCCUUCAAAGAGAUUAUAUCAACUCUCCCAAGAAGAAAAAGUUGGAAUGACUCAAAUAACGACUUUUUUUUGUAUCGAGGCUUCUGGUGUUACUCAUUUUUCAUUGAAGGAGUGAUGUCGGCUCAACAAAAUUUCCAAUCUCAACCUUCCGAUAUCGUCAUAUGCAGUGCACCGAAAACUGGAACAACAUGGUUAAAGUCCCUCACUUUUGCCAUUGUCACAAGAACCACCUUCGAUGAUUCCACUAACCCUUUACUUGCCAAUCUAUCACAUGAUUGUGUACCCUUUUUAGAGGUUGAUUUAGCCCAAUCUUCUACCAAUCGAGACCCUAAAAAUCCUUUGUUAGCCACACAUGUCCCUUACUCUUCUUUACCAAGAUCAAUAAUUGAUUCCAGUUGUAAAAUUGUUUACAUUUGUAGGGACCCUAAGGAUUCAUUCGUUUCGUUUUAUCACUUCAUUGCUAGGCGCUUGGCAUCCAAAGACAUAAAGCCCCUUGCUUUAGAAGAGGCCUUUGAGCUUUAUUGCCAAGGUGUAAGCAAUUAUGGACCUUAUUGGGACCAUGUUCUAGGGUUUUGGAAAGCAAGUUUGGACCGACCUGAUAAGAUUCUUUUCUUGAAAUACGAAGAAAUGAUAGAAGAUAUUGUUUUUUACGUUAAGAAAUUAGCUGAUUUCAUCAGUUAUCCUUUCUCUUCUGAAGAAAUCAAAAAAGGGUCAGUCGACAAGAUCAUAAGCAUGUGUAGUUUUGAGAACUUAAGCAAAUUGGAAGUGAAUAAAAGUGGCAAACACCGUGAAGGAACUCCAGGGGUGAUUGAAAACAAGAUCUAUUUCCGAAAAGGUAAGGUUGGGGAUUGGGAGAAUUAUUUGACACCUGAAAUGGCUUCUCGGUUGGACUCGAUAACGUUACAGAAGCUAAAUGGUUCAGGCUUAACUCUGUGAUUGAAUCAUAAAGCAGCCAUGGGGUACAUUGUCCCUUCUCUGCAAUUUCGACAUAUUAUGUUUCUAAAAUAAUUUGUGUAUGCUUUUUGCAAGUAGCAACACUUCUCGUGUUGUUCAUGUUAACAUCAAUAAAAAGCAUAGUUGAUUCAAUAUGUGAAAUGUGAUUAAAAACAACAUGUAAAACACAAUGCAAAUUGGUUUAUAUGAGUUCGGAGGACCAAUAUAAAAAUAAAAAAAAUUAAUAGAUUCGAUAUAUAAAUGAUAUGAUUAAAUUAUAUGAAUUGAAAUGAAAAUGAUUGUAUUUUUUUAUAGUGGAAAAAGUAGCAUGGCACGUCAUAAUGAUUUGCCGGUUUUCAUAAUGUAUGAAUCGAGAUAUAUGACAUGAAGAGAUGAAAUUCAAACGUUUGAAUCUUGAACAUGUUUUCAUUACAUUUUUGUCAAAUUAAUGUUUAUGUUGGUAUGACUUGAUCAUAAAGGUACUGAUGAUCUUUAUUGUUCAAUGUACACUUUGUUUAUUCCAUGUGAGGUAUUAGUUAAUUUCGAAGACUCGAGGAGUGAUCCAACAUCCGGUCUGCAACUCUCGACUCAACAAUGUUUGUAUAGUUCCUUUACGUUUUGAUAUAUGACAUGUACUUAAGUUUUGAGUUAGUUUUGUAUCUUGGAUGGUCAUUUGGAAAAUUGGAUUGUUGAUGUGAAUUUGAGUUUAUGAAUAUGAAAUGUUUAAGUUAUCAUGAACAUUAUAUGAUGUUUAAAUGGUUAAGUGGUGUAAAUGGUCAUAUGUAUUAAGUUAGGUUUGAGUUAUGAAUGGUUAAAUUGAUAAACAUGAAUGAUAAUGACAUAGCAAAGGUAGUAUAUGAAGUGUUUGAUGUAGGUAUUAUGCUUGAAUGGAUUGGUUUCGCAUUGGUUAUUUUGGUUAGGUUAGUAUGGAUUGGUACCAAAUAAGCAUUUCAAAACAGUAUGUCAUGUUGUAACAAGAAAUCGAUAGUGAAUGAUGUCGCGACUUGGAAUCUCCCAAGUCGUGACGUCAACUCGAUAGUUUUAACAUUUUAUAUUUUAGUCCUUAAACGACCUUAGGUUAUCGAAAGAGCUUUCGUAUGCUCGUAUAAACCUUGGAUAUGUUUGUAUAAUAUGAUAUAAUGAUGUAUUGAUCAUAAUUACAUGUAUAAACUGUUGAAUUGAUAAAAUUUAGAUCAUAGUUGUUCUAACAACGAAUGUGACAUCCCAUAGCUUUGACCUGUGAUCAAGUUGGGUAUGGGGUGUUACUAGAAAGGUGGGUUUGGAGAAGAAGAAUAGCAUUUGUAUUAUAAAUUUAAAAACAAAAACUCAAUCAGUAUAGUAAGUGGAGUUUGAGAAGAAAUAAUGGGUUUAGAAAAGAAGUAGAGUACUUUGUAUUAUAAAUUAGAAGAAAAAAAUCUAAAAUUUCAAAAAAUUGAAACUUACCAAAGAAUCCAAAUAAAUAUAAUAUAAUACAACAUUUUGCUCUUCUCUCUUGCUCGAUAGGCCGUUGAUGGUAGAAGUUUUUAUGAUUCUCAAGAAUGAAAGCACUGUUACCCAAGCCCUGAUUUUGUUUCCUGGAAAUUCGAGCAGCAACCAUCGGUUUAAUAAUUAUAAUUAGUUAGACUUUUCUAGAUAAUAAAAUACUAUUACGUACCAAUUUUAUAAACUACUAACAAUAUAUAUUUGACAGUUAAAAGUUUUUUUUUACAUAAAACGAAUAUUUAGAAAAUUUUAAUUUAUGUCAAUCUUGACAUACAUGAUCUAUAUGAAUGGAGUAUGAAAUAUGACGGUGGGAUUGUUAAAAUAAAAAUUGUAUAAAAAGUUACUAAAUUAUGCAAAACCACUUUAAUUUUACACCGUGUAAGUGAAUCUCCCCUCUUAUUUUAUUUUUUAAGUAUUAUAUUAAUAACUUUUAUCUUAAAUAUUUUAUUUAUGUUUUUUGGGUACAUCUUUUAUCUUAAGAUUUGUAUAAUUCUUUACACAAUAAUAAUUCAUUUUAUAUAGUUAUAAAAAAAUCAUUAAUUUUACAUAAAUUUUGAUAUAUUAUUAUAUUUUGAAUUUAUGUUUAUUUCUAUGUGACAUGAUAAUUUUAAUUAUUGAAAUUUUUUAUCUUCGAAUAAUUUUGUCAAAUAAUUUAAUAAUUAAAUCAUUAUAUAUAGUGUACAAAUCAUAUUAAAAAAUUAAUCUAACUUUACGAAGCAUAAUGAGCAGGUAUAUUCUAGUGAUAUAUUAAAUAUAUUAUAUAAUUUACAUAUUUUUUUUACCUUCAAAAAGUCAAAUUCUUGAUCAUUUUAGUCUUUUUUUUAUCAUUUUAGUUUUGAAUCAUCAAAUUUCAAUUAAAUUACCUUUUUUUUACGUAAAAAUUGACCUAACAAUUAAAAUUUUAACGUCAUUAAUGUGGUAGCCUGUAUAGUAGUGUAUGUAUACUUUAUUGUUAACAUGGAUGAAUAUUUUCAAAACUUUUAUGAACUUUUUGAAUUUUUAUUUUUAUUUAAUUUAUGAAGUAAACGUGAAUUUUCAUGUGUGUCACCACGUCACUCCCGUUAAAAUUUUAAUAGUCCAAUUAAUUUUUCAGUUCAAAGAAAAACAAUUUAACAAAAAUUUGAAAAUUUAAAACAAAUCGAUCCAAAAAAGUAUUAAGACAAAUGCAUUUAAGAGAAGGGAAAUUAUUUGGUACAUUGUCGGUAAAGCUUUUAUACUUCACAAGCAGGAUCGGGGGUUAAUAAGUAUCUUAUAGAGAUAUUAUAAAAUAUCAAUUUUUAAAAUUACUUAUGAAAUAAAAAAAUACACUUCACCCCAAUUAGUGUGAAAAAAAAAUACAAAACUUGAUUCCAAAUCUUUUAAAAUAAUACAAAAAAAUCUAUCAACUAGAUUGUUUAGCGACAAAAUCAUGCAUGGGACAGACCUUGACAAUGGCUAAAUAAGCACUAGCUACAUUAUUUAUUUAUUUAGUCCCUAUAAUUCUGUUCCAAUUCAAGAAAUUACGUGGUGGAUAUAAUAAAAAAUUGUUGUUAAAAGCAAAUAAUUUUCGUCACUAAGUUCACAUGGUUCAAUUACAAAAAAAUUAUUGUGCAAUUGUGAAAGAAAUUACCUUUUCUCUGAAGCUAUUUAUAGACCCAAUUUUUGUCAAAAUAUUUGCACUCAUUUCCCCUUUCUUUUUCCUUUAUGAAAAUGGCCUCCUUCAAAGAGAUUAUAUCAACACUCCCAAGAAGAAAAGGCUGGAAUGACUCAGAUAACGACCUUUUUUUGUAUCGAAGCUUCUAUUAUUACUCGUUUUUCAUUGAAGGAGCGAUGUCGGCUCAACAAAAUUUCCAAUCUCAACCUUCCGAUAUCAUCAUAUGCAGUGCAUCGAAAACUAGAACAACAUGGUUAAAGUCCCUCACUUUCGCCAUUGUCACAAGAACCAUCUUCGAUGAUUCCACUAACCCUUUACUUACCAAUCUUGAUCAUUUUAGUCUCUUUUUUUUUUUAUCAUUUUAGUUUUGAAUCAUCAAAUUUCAAUUAAAUUACCUUUUUUUUUGGACGUAAAAGGUUGACCUAACAAGUAAACUUUUAAACGUGAUAGCCUGUAUAGUAGUGCAUGUGUAUUUUAUUGUUCACGUGGAUGAUUAUUUUCAAAAUUUUUAUGAACUUUUUAAAUUUUUAUUUUUAUUUAAUUUAUGAAGUAAGCGCGGACUUUCAUGUGUGUCACCAUGUCACUUCCGUUAAAAUUUUAAUAGUCCAAUUAAUUUUUCCGUUAAAAGAAAAACAAUUUAACAAAAAUUUGAAAAUUUAAAAUAAACCGAUCCAAAAAAGUAUUAAGACAAAUGCAUUUAAGAAAAGGGAAAUUAUUUGGUGCAUUGCCGGUAGAGCUUUUAUACUCCACAAGUAGAAUUAGGGGUUAAUAAGUAUCCUAUAGAGAAAUAGUAAAAUAUUAAUUUUUUAAGAUUACUUAUAAAAUAAAAAAAUACACUUCACCCCAAUUACUGUAAAAAAAAAUACAAAACUUGAUUCCAAAUCUUGCUCUUUAAAAAAAUUUUUGACUUCACCCCGAUGUGCUAAAAGUGUUUUAAUUAGAUCCUAGACUCAAUAGAUUACACUCGUUUAGUGGAGUUUUAUCGUUCAUGUUAUAUAAGUCAUUCUAAAAAAAAAAAAAAAACCCUAUAAAAAGGAUCAUCUUUAAGUCAUUCAAUACAACUUCAAAAGUGCAAAAAAUAUCAAAGUCUGAACAGAAGAUUUUGAUGACUAGAAGUUGUUUCUUAAAAUCCUAAAAAAUUGAAAAACUUAAAUAAAUUCCAAAGAAUGUCACAUCUUUUUGAUACAAUGGCUAAGACUACCCAUAGCCCCCCUCAACACUUAAACAGAGGGAUAAUAAGCUUUAGUACACUUGAAUUCAAGUUCUCCCAACCCAAAUAUAAAAAAUAAAACCCAAACCCAAAUUAAUAUUCUAUAAAUUUAUAGUCACAACUUUAUAUAAUUUAGUUAUAAUUUUAAUGUAUAUUAUAUACAUUAAAAACCUAAAUCCUGCCUCAUUUACCAAUUCCCAAAUCUGAAAUUCCUAUCCCAAAACCUAGCACCAUUUACACCGCCAUCAGCCCCUCCUCGACUGUCACCUACUACUGCAGGCCACACGACCACACCCGUCCAGCGUCCACCACCAGCAAGCAAUUGAAAGCAAAGUAGCAAGGAUAAUGCGGCCAUGGAAGGCAAGAAUUGAAGACAAAGAAGAGAAGGAAAGGAAAGCAAGCUUUAUCACGUAAUAGAAGGUUUGAAUGUUUAAAAGAGAUUUCUCAUGCAAGCUGGUUGGAUGAAUUAGGUUAAUCUCUAAUUUUUGGUUUAUUUGAAUCGAUUUAGUGCACACCUUAUUUUUUUUUUCACCUUAUUUUUUCUUUCAUGAUCUUAUUGAUUCGACCAUAAAUUUUGUUUAUGAUAUGUUUUUAAUGGAAUAAAAUUCUAAUCUAUUAGAUGUGAAUUGCUCUAAUCUAAGCACAAUUAUUGUACAAUUUUGUUAAAAAAAUGAAACUAUAAAUUUUGAAAUAAUUAUGAAUAAAUUAAUAUUAGUCUGUUGAUGUGAACAAUUAUUUUUAAAACUUUUUUAUUUUUUAAUUUUAAAAAGUACACACGUUCUUUUAUUUGAGUUAUCAUGUUACUUUCAUUAAAAUAGUACAAUUAAUUUUUGUGUAAAAUUUAAAAUACACUUCACCUUUAAAAAAUAAAAAAAUGCAUUGGACAGCACUAACUACAUUCAUUUAUUAAUUUAGUUCCUAUAACUCUACUCCAAUUCAAGAAAUCACGUGGUGGACAUAAUAAAAAACUGAUAUUAAAAGCAAAUAAUUCUCCACACUAAGAUCACAUGGUUGAAUUAAAAAAAGUUGAUUGCGUAAUUGUGAAAGAACUUACCUUUUCUCUCAAGCUAUUUAUAGAUCCAAUUUUUGUCAAAAUACUUGCACUCAUUUCUCCUUUCGUUUUUCCUUUAUCAAAAUGGCCUCCUUCAAAGAGAUCAUCUCAACACUCCCAAGAAGAAAAGGCUGGACUGACUCAAAUAACGACCUUUUUUUGUAUCGAGGCUUCUGGUGUUACUCGUUUUUCAUUGAAGGAGUGAUGUCGGCUCAACAAAAUUUUCAAUCUCAACCUUCCGAUAUCGUCAUAUGCAGUGCACCGAAAACUGGAACAACAUGGUUAAAGUCCCUCACUUUCGCCAUUGUCACAAGAACCACCUUCGAUGAUUCCACUAGCCCUUUACUUGCCAAUCUAUCACAUGAUUGUGUACCCUUUUUAGAGGUUGAUUUAGCCCAUUCUUCUACCAAUCGAGACCCUAAAAAUCCUUUGUUAGCCACACAUGUCCCUUACUCUUCUUUACCAA